AGAGCGAACGUUAGCGGCGGGCCUAACACAUGCAAGUCGAGCGAGAAAAGGGCUUCGGCCCUGAGUAAAGCGGCAGACGGGUGAGGAACACGUAGGUAACCUUCCUUUCAGCGGAGGACAACGGUCCGAAAGGACCGCUAAUACUGCAUACGUUCCCCGGGAUUCCGAUUCUGGGGAGGAAAGCCCCGCAAGGGGCACUGAAAGAGGGGCCUGCGUCGCAUCAGCUAGUUGGUGGGGUAACGGCCUACCAAGGCGAAGACGCGUAGCUGGUCUGAGAGGAUGAUCAGCCACACUGGGACUGAGACACGGCCCAGACUCCUACGGGAGGCAGCAGUGGGGAAUAUUGGACAAUGGGCGCAAGCCUGAUCCAGCCACGCCGCGUGAGUGAUGAAGGCCUUCGGGUCGUAAAGCUCGUGUGGGAGGACGAAAGUCCCGUACGAAGAGACGGGGUGACGGUACCGUCCUUAGCAAGCACCGGCUAAACUUCGUGCCGAGCAGCCGC
rnacentral:rRNA from 1 species